CCAGAAAGAAACUUUAAAUAUUAAACAUCUUAAAACUCAAGGCCUGUUUGGAAAAAAGCACAGUGAGCUUUGAUGGAAGGUGGAUAAUCAUCAGGGAGUCAUUUCUGGAAAUUUAGAUAAUACGGUUGUUUCUUUUAAUGCCACAUUCUCCUGGGAGGAUGGGAAGACCAUUUGACUGAUUCUGCUCCAAAAAUCCUACUGAAGCAAAGGCUGAGCCCAAGUUAUUUGUGGAACAGCAGCCUGGGCCUGGCCUGGCGCACGUAUCGCAAAGCUGGAAAGGCAGCAACGAAAUGUCCUCAAAAGAAGCCGGUCUCUCCCCUCGAUGGGCAGACAGCUCUGAUGGGAGCCAAACUCAGAUGUUCCUCAGUUAGAACCUGUGUUCAUUGGGCCCAGAAGGAAUGGGGAAGAUUCUGUGGAAACCAGCUGUCAAAUGUAAGCUGUCUCGCUAGCAGAAUUUAAAAAGAAGAUUGGCCUCAGGGCCUGCGGGCCCUCAUCACUGUGGCCAGACCUUCCAUCAGAACCCUCAGUCUGCGAGGCUGAUUAUAUGAAACAUACAUUGUGUGCCAGCAUCUUCCACAGGAAAUACCGUGAGAUUCUCUCAGUGGGUCAAUCUCAUUUUCUCCAGCGCAGACGAGGCUUAGCAGUGACCUGUGACCCAACUUUGUCUUCCCCAUAAUGAGAAGCAGGCCCUUUGGACCCGCUGGCACAGCUGAGCCGGUAUUUCUGGAAUCGCUGACUGAGAAAACUCACCCCACCGUGAACUCUGCCAGAAAUUCCUCGGUUUACUCACGUUCAUCUGUAUUCCAGAACAGUCCUCAGCAAGAUUGGCUAGUGGUGCUUUAGCAAGAACAUCCGAGCACCAGGGUGGAGCGGGACCUUUCGGACCCUGUCAGAUGAGGAGUUUGCCCUCCAGCCCGAGGAGUCGAGGGCAUGAAGAGCCUCACUCCACGAAGAUUUGAAUCACUUUAAAUCAAUUUGCUUCUUAUUAAAAUGUACUUCAAUAAAAAAUAAUUUCAACUCUU